GCUUGCUACACCUGUCGGAUUUGUAAGCGGAGAUCUUUAUUCUGGUGGCAAUCUGAAAACCUGCAGUGUAAAAUGGUCCCUUGCUGGGUUUACAGGUAUCAGGAAAUCAAGGCUGAUCUGCUUUGCCCAUGAACAUUGCACCCCUUCUGAGCUUCUGCAGCAAGCAUGCAUUGUCUCACAUGCAACACGUUUGCCGGGCAGUAGAGCUGACUGGCGUGUGCACAUAGGAGCCGUCACCUCUCUUGUGUGGGAAUGGUUCCCUGCGUACGGGUCAGCAGCUCAUGUACGGUGUUUCCAGUGUGGGGCAUGCCAGGCUGCUUUGUGCCUCCACACUGCUGAUGAGACAGCACAAGGCCUAACAAACAAGUUAAAGGGAGAUAAGGAACUGCAGGAAUUUCUCAUGCUUCCUGGUAAACAGAGAGAAAAGAUGCAUGGCUUGUUCCUCAGAGUUUCUCUGGACUCUUUUCAGGAGCAUAUUUCUUGAGAGUUGACCUCGUCCUACUAUUGAAAUGCCCUCAGAAAGAGAAAUAUGGCAUGAUUUACUCUUGACAUCUUAGCCUGCAUGGACUCUUUGGUCAACCUUAACUUCAGCAUUAAUCAGAGAAAAGAAAGGAAAACUGUGAUUCUAACGCACCCAUACAUAAACCAAGAAGGACUCAAUUAACAAAGUAUUAGGAGAACCUCUGAUUGGGCUCCUUGCAAAAUGAGAGGAAUAUCAUGGAUAUGGGACUUCUCACAACAUCUUAAUCCCCAUAAUUAUACCCACCUAUCUAUAUGGCCUCUUUGUGUAACAAAUAAUAAUGGGAGAGAAACUGCAAGAAAGGUACAUUCUUUACCACUCAGUUAAUUGACUUAGGAUUCCUCUGUGUUUAGUUUUUGAGAAAAGUCUUCUCAUAGAUGAAGUUAACAGGGUCCUUGCUAAAGAGGCAUGGACUUUUCUGGUAUUCAGUGAAUGAUAGAAGAGAUUCUGUCAUCAUCUUGCAGCUGUGUCCUUGCUCACCUAUCUCUGUUCUUAUCACUGCAGCAUGAUGGUACUGCGUUAGCUGCAGAGGUUUGGAAUGAGGUGUUAAAGUGCGUUGCAUGACACAAGUUAGGCACUCAACGAGAUGGCCAGUAUGGAUGUGACACAAAAGGACCGCAGCAAAAUUGUGUCCACUCCAGCAUGGACAAAGCUGUUGAGGCAGGUAGGAUUGGAGCUGAAGCUGAAAGCUUCUUUAUGGUCUCAGGUGCAGAGGAGUAAGUCUGUAGUUAAAGCCGAUUUUAGGAGCUGAGGCGUGCUUACUUUGUACUUUCAGGAUAGAAGGAUAUGGAGAAAAGGAUAUGACUUUAAGCACAUCACAUUUUUGAUGUACCUCCUUUUUGAGUAUCAAAACACAAGCAGCUCUUGGACACACAGCAGUCCCUGCUUCAUCUAAGUCAAGCUGGUCUCCAGAAAAAAUAGUGAGGCCUCUGGAAACAGCCACUCCAGAUCACUUCUGCAGGUAAUUUUUAGGAGGAAGGAAUGUGAUCACCAGAAGUUGGGAGCAAAGAAUUCAUCAUUUUUGAUCCACCAGCUCUCCUGCUGGUGAAAUUUGAGCUAUGCUUAAAUGAAUUGCUCUCCUUGUGGUAAGUCUCUGUGAGACAGUACUCUUCCAAUGAAAGGAGCUUCAAAAAAUGUACAAGCAGAUCACAGAAUAAGCACAGGAUGUAGGUAGUUCCCCAAGUUCUCCACUUUUUUGAAACUUCUGUGACCCAUCCCUUGUAAACUUGGCACCUUCCCGUGUAAUUGCAUCAUAGCUAGGUCACUGAGGGCUGUAUUAUGACAGGCCUUAAAGGACAACGUGGUGCUGGCUGAGAAGGCUUAAAUAAUCCGUUUUCUCAUCUGUUGUUCAGCAAGAGAGAUUGCAGAGGACACUGUUAAAAAACUGUUUGAAUGCUGUGUGAGAAUAUAUCAUCAGGUGUAUUAUAUAUACCUGCUGGGGUCCUGGGACCAGCUGUCUCUGCUGAGGGCAGGCAGUCCUGGAAGAUACGAUUUUGACUCACACUUCUCUUGGCCACAAACAUCACCAAAAGGCAAGCUUCUAAAUUAAGCACUGGUAAUAGCGGGCUUGAAAAUGGACUUUCACUGCUGAGCUAUGCAGCUGGGCUGCAGAGAAGAGAGACACACGUUUUCCAGAAGCCAAUCAGACUGGACUCCUGCAUGAAGGCUGCCUUGAGAAGUUCCCUGGCAUAUUCAUACGGCUUCUGGUGUCCAGGUGAAGCUCUUCCCCCUAAUGUCAUUAUCUUUGUAUCAAUACAGUGUAUACUUACAAUGUAAUUUGCUGAACAAAAAAAA